GGCCAGCCCUUUCCUCCCUCGGGGCGGGGAGCAGUAGGUAAUCUUCCGCAAUGGACGAAAGUCUGACGGAGCAACGCCGCGUGAGUGAUGAAGGUGUUCGGAUCGUAAAGCUCUGUUGUUAGGGAAGAACAAGUACCGUUCGAAUAGGGCGGUACCUUGACGGUACCUAACCAGAAAGCCACGGCUAACUACGUGCCAGCAGCCGCGGUAAUACGUAGGUGGCGAGCGUUGUCGGGAAUUAUUGGGCGUAAAGGGCUCGCAGGCGGUUUCUUAAGUUUGAUGUGAAAGCCCCCGGCUCAACCGGGGAGGGUCAUUGGAAACUGGGGAACUUGAGUGCAGAAGAGGAGAGUGGAAUUCCACGUGCAGCGGUGAAAUGCGUAGAGAUGUGGAGGAACACCAGUGGCGACGGCGACUCUCUGGUCUGUAACUGACGCUGAGGAGCGAAAGCGGGGGAGCGAACAGGAUGAGAUACCCUGGUAGUCCACGCCGUAAACCAUGAGUGGCUAAGUUUAGGAGGUUUCCUCCCUAUUACUGCCCAGAGGGCC
rnacentral:rRNA from 2 species